GAAGUGUGAAAAUCUGGCUGUGAAAUUUGUCACCUCCAUGAGGGCCACAUACGGUUGAUUGAGCUCAUCAGCCUGGCUGUGCAGGUGGCUUUUUCCUCUCCAAACACUCCAUGUUCCUUCCUUCCAAGAUGCACACAUUUAGAGCAUGAUCUUCCAGAUAAAAGAGGACCAGUCUGUAAUCAAGGGUUUAUAAGCAGCUGGAAAUUCUAUAUCACCUUGCAAGGUCUGUUUGUAGAAGAACCGGGGUAGCAUUCAAGACACUGGAUACAUCCAAACGAAGAACUGCAUGUGGCAGUCUGCUUUUCAUU
rnacentral:snRNA from 1 species